GCAAAUUAGAGAGAGAAAGAGAAGUAUUUCGAUCCUACGCUACCAUAAUCUCUUCACGAUGUCGUACUCCAGGAGGUCAAGGUAUUCUCGCUCACCUUCAUACGAUCGAUAUAGCAAGUCUGUCUCAAGGUCCAGAUGUGUUUCAAGGAGUCGGUCAAGGAGCUGUGAUUCAAGUGAUGUUGAGAACCCAGGGAACAAUUUGUAUGUGACUGGUCUCUCAACCCGCGUUAAGGAGCGAGAUAUUGAGAAGCAUUUUUCUGCUGAGGGGAAGGUUGAAGAUGUUCGUCUUGUUUUAGACCCAUGGACCCACGAAUCUCGUGGGUUUGGUUUCGUGACGAUGUCCAGCGUUGAGGAGGCUGAUCGCUGCAUCAAGUCUCUGAAUCGCUCAAUACUUGAAGGCAGAGUUAUCACCGUGGAGAAGGUAGAAUUUAUUGAAUAUUUGCUCAGUUUUGUUGAAUCUUAUGUUUGCAAUUUUCGCUGGUAUCAGCUCUCAGUUGUAUCAAUAUCUUAUAUUUGCUUCAGUAAUUUGAUCAGUUUGAAAGUUGUUUGCUUGUUUCGCCUGAGUUUCUUUGGCAGCAAGGUAGCUGUGUGUAGCAGCUCUUCACCAAAGUCCAAAUAACAAAUCAAAACACAUCAAGCAAACAGACUGUCAACCAGAGGGUUGUAGCCUUCAUUUUUCUUUAUUCAGCUGCGCCCUUGUUGCUAUUGUUCAUUUUCUAUUGGUUACUUAUAUCGUGAUAUUGUUAUAUUGCAUCAACCUGCCAGAGUCUAGAUUUGCUGUCUGACAAUUGUAUCCUAUGCAGGCCAGGAGGAGAAGAGGUAGAACACCUACUCCAGGAAAAUAUUUGGGGCUUAGAACUGUUCGCGUUCGUCGUGAAUCACGAACUUAUCCUCAUUAUUCAAGGAAUCACUCUCCUUGUUACUCAUCUGAAAGCUACAGGAGCAGGAGCAGGUCUUACUCUCCAUAUUACCGACAAGAGCAUAGAUCAUACUCUUAUUACAGAGGACGCCAGAGAUCUCACUCAUCGUAUUACAGUCGGCACCACUGCUACUCAGAAUCACCUUAUUCUCCUUACUAUAGUCGUGGAAGAUCUUACUCUCGAUCUUUAUCCCCAUAUAAUGGGCGUGAUCGGUCCUACUCUCCAGAUGACUGUUAUUACAGAAGGAGCCGUUACCAUGACUAUUCUCCCGACAAUCAUCGGCGUGAUCGUUCCUAUUCUCCAGAUGACCGUUACUAUAGAAGAAGCCGCUACCGUGACUACUCUCCUGAAAGCCAUGAUCUUUCAGACUCUCCAGAUGUUCGUGACAACAGAAUGAGCCGCUAUCGCGACUACUCUCCGAACAACAGUUACUAUUAUCGAAGGAACCGAUAUCGUUCCAUUUCUCGGAGCAUUUCUCCUCGGUAUCGGAGAAGCUACUCGCGCAGUGUAUCACCUAGGUGGUCAAAGAGGAGCUAUUCAAGAAGCGUUUCCAGGAGCAGCUGCUCUCGUAGCAGUUACUCUCCUAAUCAGAAGAAAAGCUCUAAGAAGAGUCGCAGUGUUAGUGCAUCUUCCAGAUUUGUUUCAAGGUCUGUUACACCUAGGUCUUCACCUUCAUCAUGAAAGGACUACACUACUAGGAAGGUCUAGUCUGUCACUCUCUGUUGCAAAGAGUUUAAAGUUGUAUUAGAUUGGUCAUUCAAGUAGAAUUUCUCAAGAUAACAUAUCUGCUUUCCAGCUUAUGUGACUGGUGGAAAUGAGAUCUAGCUGUACUAUUGUGUUUGUAAUUUGAUGCAGAGGUAAUACAGCGUAUUGACUGGUGGAAAUGAGAUCUAGCUGUACUAUUGUGUUUGUAAUUUGAUGCAGAGGUAAUACAGCGUAU
rnacentral:misc_RNA from 1 species